rnacentral:rRNA from 1 species
GUCUUGACAUCCACGGAAGUUUUCAGAGAUGAGAAUGUGCCUUCGGGAACCGUGAGACAGGUGCUGCAUGGCUGUCGUCAGCUCGUGUUGUGAAAUGUUGGGUUAAGUCCCGCAACGAGCGCAACCCUUAUCCUUUGUUGCCAGCGGUCCGGCCGGGAACUCAAAGGAGACUGCCAGUGAUAAACUGGAGGAAGGUGGGGAUGACGUCAAGUCAUCAUGGCCCUUACGACCAGGGCUACACACGUGCUACAAUGGCGCAUACAAAGAGAAGCGACCUCGCGAGAGCAAGCGGACCUCAUAAAGUGCGUCGUAGUCCGGAUUGGAGUCUGCAACUCGACUCCAUGAAGUCGGAAUCGCUAGUAAUCGUGGAUCAGAAUGCCACGGUGAAUACGUUCCCGGGCCUUGUACACACCGCCCGUCACACCAUGGGAGUGGGUUGCAAAAGAAGUAGGUAGCUUAACCUUCGGGAGGGCGCUUACCACUUUGUGAUUCAUGACUGGGGUGAAGUCGUAACAAGGUAACCGUAGGGGAACCUGCGGUUGGAUCAC